CUCUGAAAGCUGGGCAUAAGUGGCCCUAUCGGCAAGGCACUGAGUGGCCUUUUGAUACUAAAGCUGACGACUCUCUAAGUGUGCGGCCUUGAAGAGGAUCUCCUCAGCAUCGGCAGGGAUCUGGCCUCUGAGAGUUUUGAAUAGAGCCUUGGCUAAAUCAGAAUCAUCAACCAGUUGGGCUGUGUCUUGAUGGAGGAUGGCUGACAGAUCUUCCAGCUUUGCUCUAAGAUCUGCCGAUGAAAUUCCAACUGCUUGGGAAGAGCUUGCUUCCUCUCCUUCAUCCUCAGAAAUUUCGAUAGCAAAUGAGAACAGGCUGUCGGG
rnacentral:lncRNA from 1 species